CUCUCUCUCUCUCUCUCUCUCUCUCUCUCUCUCUCUCUCUCUCUCUCUCUCUCUCAUUCCAUGAUUUGUAGCGCCUCUCUCUCUCCACGUCUCCAUAACUUUUGGGCUCGAUUCCUCUUAUCGAUUAUGGCAGCGGUUCACCAUCGGUGGUACCGAUUCUGCAAACAAAUGGGAGAAGCUUCUUAAACAAUUCGAUCUCGAUUAUCUCAGGAAUUUGGUAAAAGUUCUAUGUCCAUAAGGUCUUGGAGGUGGAAGGUCUCUGCAAACAGUAAGAAAAAUCAACAAAUAAUUUUUGGGUGUCCAUAACAACUAGUCUAUUUAAAUAUAUCCAUUAAGAAAACUUUUUACUGAUUCAUAUCCAUUCUAUAUACCAUGUCCAUAAUAACAGGAAAUUCGAUUAAUCGUGGUUUGUAAAGAAACCAAAGUUCCAUGUCCAUAAGGUCUUGGAAGUGGAGGUCUCUUCAAACUGAAAGAAAAAUCAACAAACAAUUUUUUGGUGUCCAUAAUAACGAGUCCAUUUAAAUAUAUCCAUUCAGAAACCUUUCUACUGAUAUAUAUCCAUUCUAUAUACCAUGUCAAUAAUAUCAUGAGAUUCGAUUAACAGUGUUUUGUAAAGAAACCAAAGUUACAUGUCCAUAAUGUCUUGAAAGUGGAGGUCUCUGCAAAUUGAAAGAAAAAUCAACAAACAAUGUUUUAGUGUCCAUAAUAACGAGUCCAUUUAAAUAUAUCCAUUCGGAAACCUUUUUACUGAUCUAUAUCCAUUCUCUAUACCAUGUCCAUAAUAACAGAAAAUUCGAUUAACCGGAAUCUCGAUGCUACAUAGAUGAAACGAGUUUGACACAUGAGAGAGGGCAAAACUCAAAUAAAGCCGCCAUUGUUGAAGAAUGAUAAUAAGUUUUGAUGUCAAUUAUCCUAAAACACCAAUCAUGUCGUUGUAGUAUUUUAGGUUGUCAAUCCAAAUGGGUGUGAUGCUAACAAUCAAGAUGUGAUCAGAAGUCACUAAGUCAAGCCAAGCAUAACAUGUUUUGGUGUGUUCUAGCAGUCCUAAGUGAACAUGCAGAAAACAGAAAAUCAAACAGAAACAGUAAAACACUCGACCAACACAGCUCUUUGCAGAGCACUGGGUGAGGUCAAGUGACAGAUCGAGUAACAGACAGAAAAUGAAACAGGGAUACUCGACUGCACAGUCUGUUACCAGACAACUGGGUGGUCGAGUACCAGGUCGAGUAACAGUAAAGAAUUGCAGAAACUAAGCAACAGAUGACAGGAUGCAGUAAACAGCAGUAGAGUAAACAAUAAAAUCAAUCAGACAAAGAAUUCCUAAGGAUGGGGUAAUUGAGUAAUUUCGUUUCCUCAGUUUACAGGUGAUUGACAUGCUCAAUAAAUAAACCCUAGACAACAAGUUCAUCAACCAAAUCUAAGUGCCACCGCAACAGAGACUCUCAAGCUAACCUAGUCCCAGACUCAAUCACCAUUGACGAGAGCUAACCUAACAGGCAUUACGAAUCAACAAGUUAAAGCCAAAACGCUCCCUACAACUAAUACCUUGGUACAGGGUCACGAAUCUCUGGAAUUAGUGGUUCAGACAUUUCAUCGAAAACCUUUUGGGCGCGGAAAUGUCUGGGCUAAAAUUCCAGUUGAUCAGAAAGCAAUAGGCAUUAAGAACAACUAAUCCAGAAGGGAUCUAUCAAUCAAUACUCAAUCACCUAGCAUACUGAGAAUUCUACACUACUCUAACCCAUCCUCAGAAACCUAUUCACUACUCAGACAUCAUAACAGAAGGCAUAAACAUUGAACAAGUUGAAAACAUGCUAACAACAGUGUAACAGCAGGAUGAUAACAGAAUGAACAACAGUAAAGGAAAUCAAGAACAAAAGCUGAAUACUGAAGAGAAAUCCGGAUUACAAAAAGUCUAGAACACAAGGUCUGCGGAAAUAAAACUAGGUAAAAAACUUCUUGUCUGCGAAAAUGAGGAGUACAUGCUACUUAUAGCCAAAUAUCCCGAAACCCUAAUACUCAAAACGACGAAGUAUUUGGACGGGUUAAGAACUGUACUCGACCCAGGUGGUCGAGUGAGAGGUCGAGUGAAUAUCUGGAGUCUUCUUUUCUUCCUUGUGCUCGAGUGUCUGGUUGAGUGCGGAAUGAAGAAGGCUCUGAAGCUUGUCAUCGAGUAUGCAGUCAAGUGUUGUGAUGGCGAUACUCGACCUCUAGGUUGAGUGACGAGGUCGAGUAGUGGUCUGGCAGUGAAGGUGAAGGCACUCGACCUCAUGGUCGAGUGAAGUGAUCGAGUGAUGGUCUGGUGAUGGAGAUGAGGGCACUCGAUCUCGUGGUCGAGUGGUGAAGUGAAGUGGUGAUGUCCUCUGCUCGACCUGUGGGUCGAGUGGUCUCUUGAGAUCCUGAAGCUCCUACUGGACCUCUUGGUCGAGUGGUUUGUCGUGAUCAGGUCCGCUUCUUGCAAAUAGCUCGUCAACAGCUCCAAAUCACCUGAAAUCAACGCAAAUAUGCAACAUGCAUGCAAAACUAUCCUAAACAUGCAAAGUGAUGACAAAUGAUGUGAAAUGGUAUAAAACAGUGAUGAUAUGAUGCUAAAGUGAUGAUAAAUGGAUGCU
rnacentral:sRNA from 1 species